CCUUCCUGACAUACACACAGACGCUAAAGAUCCUUUGCACAGUAACCAAUAACUCCAUGCCUGAGUCAUCAUUGCAGUUUAGUUCACUAAUUAGAAUAUGAGUUUUGGACUCUAAGCUUGGAUUCAUAUCCUGGCUCCUUAAUUCGGAGUUCAUGAACUUCAUCACUGUGUCUCUGUUUCCCCACCUGAGGAGGAGGGAGUGUCAACAAAACAUCACAUAUGUGUUUGAUGAGCAUUGAAUGAAUAAAGGCCUAAUCCAACUGAUUCAGGAGGUUAGUCCAUGAACCUGUCAUUCCCCAAAAUUCAAGUUUGUUUUUCAAAUAAAGUCAGCUUUAUUUAGGAUCACGCAAACUACUUGAAGCACCACACACACAGGAUUCCUUAAGAAGAACCUGCGGGAGAAUUUACAGUCUACAAGAUGAAAUCAUGGUAUGUUCAAAUGCUGAGAACAGAGCAGUGGAAAUGUUGUGCCAAAAAGCAAGAUUUCAACAUUAUUCAUGAACUGAAUGAAAUCAUUUGGGGAAUAUAAAAAUUAAUGAAAGGGAAUAAAGGGAAAGGAGAGAAAAUGAGUGAAAAUCUCAGUGAGGGUGACAAAACAUGAGAGACACCUAACUCUGGGAAA